rnacentral:rRNA from 1 species
UACGGAGGGUGCAAGCGUUAUCCGGAUUUACUGGGUUUAAAGGGUGCGUAGGCGGUUUUCUAAGUCAGCAGUGAAAUACGGCAGCUCAACUGUCGAGGUGCUGUUGAUACUGGGGAACUUGAGUACUGAUGAGGUAGGCGGAAUGGACGGUGUAGCGGUGAAAUGCUUAGAGAUCGUCCAGAACACCGAUAGCGAAGGCAGCUUACUAAGGAGUAACUGACGCUGAGGCACGAAAGUGUGGGGAUCAAACAGG